GGCAAAUUGUAUGGCUUUCUGUGUGUGUGGGAACGAUUCGGAAAUUUUAAUCUCUACUACCAGUUUGUUGCUGCUCUGGGAGGAAGAAACAACAACAAGAAAGUGCCUUUUCAGAAAUGUGAAUGAAAAGAGUUAUCUUCCCUAGCUGUGCGAGAGCAGUUCCUGUCAAGUUCAGUCCCACGCCGCAGACCCUUCGCUGGCUGUUGUGCUUGGAACACGGCUGGGCCCGGCCUCCCGCACGCAAGGAGCAGCAGCCUGUCAUCAUCAGGCUCAGCGUGGCGGCGCCGGCCAGAUGCGAGCAUAGAACCCACGGAGGUAUUAACUCAAAGCGAGGCAACCCUGCCAAUGCCAGUCUCCCAGAUCUCAUUCACAACCCAUGCCAGCUCCAGCCAGUCAGCCAGCCAGGCGGCGGCAGCGAAGGGCGUGCGGGAAGGCAGCGGCGUGACAGCAAGUUUCCCAUGAUUUAUUUCUGCUCUGCUGAGCGGGCUCCCAGCUGAACUGGAGCACGGGAAACUUGCAUCUGUUCUGCGGGCAGGCACGCGGCACUGCAGCACGGCGGCAAUUAUGGGAGGCUGCAUGACCAAAGGGGAGCUGGGCUGGUCAGCUCCAUUCAUCCACAGCCAUAGAUGAAUUCAUUUGGCUGUUGUUUGCAAGCCUGCUGCAAACUUGUUGAUCCCGGCCUGUCUAAGGGAACAGUGGUCAGUCCUUGGAGGAUGCUGUCCAGAGUGCUGUGGACCUUUGCUUUUGGAGAUGGUCUCAUCUAUCUGCUAUGGUGAUGGGAGCCUUUUGAGGUGCUCUGGGUCCGGCUGUAUGAAUGGGAUGGAUGCUUAUUGCCAUUAUACAUCAAAAAGGCAUGUGAUCUACACCUGGAAAGGGUUCCUUAGGAGAAGAGGCUGAGACGGACCUACUGUUUCUACUUCAGGAUGAAAUAAAUAAAAAGAGGGAAACUGGGAAGACAGUGAAAAAUACAAAAAAGAUGAGGAAAGAUGACCUCAUUUGACUGCUUUUCCAAAUUCAUGAGCAAGCUACUCAAUAAGGAAGCACAGAGGGAAAAACAAAGGAAGAUCUGAAACUGAUAAGGAAAUAUUUUUAGACAACACUUAAUUAACCCUGGGAACUCAGUGCCAUAAAACACCACUGAGCCCAAGAGAUGAGCAGGAUUCAAAACAGGCCAGGCAUUUAUAUGGGUAACGAGAACUACAUUAGACUAGAUUAACAAAAUAUGAGGGAUACAAACUCUCAUGCGCUAUGGCACUAGGAAGCAGCUCACUGACGAAAAUUAGGAAAAUACCUUCCCCUAUGGGCAGAUCAUUCCAUAAUCAUUCAUUAUGGGGUUUCAUGUGCUUCCCUCUGCGGCAGCUGGGCUUGGCUGCUGAUGGAGCCGGG
ensembl:lncRNA